AAUGGAGCACAUUGGCUGGAUUGAUAGGCUGCUGAAUUGGCGCGCUGAAAUUUAGGAGGGUAGACAGUACCUGUGUGGUGGAGAUAACAGUCAAGUUCUCUUAUUUGCUGCAGACUGGAAUUGGUUUGGAUCCAUAACUCUCUGGAGAAAACAGACAGACAGCUGCCGACGGCAGACCCGAGAUGAGGCCGUUUGGACUGCAUUCCAAAUCAGAAACGACAGCAGGGACAAAUAUAUCCAUCCCAAAUGUUCUCAGCAGAAUGUGAAGGAAAGCGCAGACUGUACGCUCUCAACCAAGACCCACGCCAGCAGCUGUGACCACGAGGAGCUCCAGAAGAAUACAGAACACAAGAACAAGCAGGUGCAUGCUGACAGAAGAAGAGUUACAGACUGAGACACAUCCACAGUUUCCAGACAAGACUGAGAGAAACUAGCUUCAGGUAUUUUGAUUCCUCACCUGGGAAUGGAUCACCUAUGCAUCAUCAGGUUUCCUAGUUCCUAUUUCCGUCUCCAUGGUCACGUUGCAGUCUGAGAAUGAGAACAAUGUAUAAUUGAAGCACCCAAUCUGUGACCUGUUGUUUCGGACCUGAUUUAGGAUCACUAUUGCUUAUGUAUUUUAUUUGAGUCACACCACAGAUUGGAAUCUGUUUGCUUGAUAAAAGAUUAAUUUAUGUUUAAUCUUAAA